CGAAUGGGCGGAAGCCUGACGCAGCGACGCCGCGUGAGGGAUGACGGCCUUCGGGUUGUAAACCUCUUUCAGCUCUGACGAAGCGAGAGUGACGGUAGGAGCAGAAGAAGCACCGGCCAACUACGUGCCAGCAGCCGCGGUAAUACGUAGGGUGCAAGCGUUGUCCGGAAUUAUUGGGCGUAAAGAGCUCGUAGGCGGUUUGUCGCGUCGAAUGUGAAACCCCGGGGCUCAACCCCGGGCCUGCAUUCGAUACGGGCAGACUAGAGUUCGGUAGGGGAGUCUGGAAUUCCUGGUGUAGCGGUGAAAUGCGCAGAUAUCAGGAGGAACACCGGUGGCGAAGGCGGGACUCUGGGCCGAUACUGACGCUGAGGAGCGAAAGCGUGGGGAGCGAACAGGAUUAGAUACCCUGGUAGUCCACGCCGUAAACGUUGGGCGCUAGGUGUGGGGGUCCUUCCACGACCUCCGUGCCGCAGCUAACGCAUUAAGCGCCCCGCCUGGGGAGUACGGCCGCAAGGCUA
rnacentral:rRNA from 1 species